AUUGAACGCUGGCGGCAUGCCUUACACAUGCAAGUCGAACGGCAGCACGGGAGCAAUCCUGGUGGCGAGUGGCGAACGGGUGAGUAAUAUAUCGGAACGUGCCCAGUCGUGGGGGAUAACGCAGCGAAAGCUGUGCUAAUACCGCAUACGAUCUACGGAUGAAAGCGGGGGAUCGCAAGACCUCGCGCGAUUGGAGCGGCCGAUAUCAGAUUAGCUAGUUGGUGGGGUAAAAGCCCACCAAGGCGACGAUCUGUAGCUGGUCUGAGAGGACGACCCGCCGCACUAGAACUGAGACACUGUACAGACUCCUACGGGAGGCAGCAGUGGGGAAUUUUGGACAAUGGGCGCAAGCCUGAUCCAGCAAUGCCGCGUGCAGGAUGAAGGCCUUCGGGUUGUAAACUGCUUUUGUACGGAACGAAACGGCUCUUUCUAAUAAAGAGGGCUAAUGACGGUACCGUAAGAAUAAGCACCGGCUAACUACGUGCCAGCAGCCGCGGUAA
rnacentral:rRNA from 1 species